rnacentral:misc_RNA from 1 species
CGCAGCUUCAAAUGUUGGGACCAAUCCAUUGCCUAACCAGGAUGCUGGAAGAGGUGGCAGUGUGAAUAUGAUAGAGUUCUCUGAUGAUGCUUUAGAACUAGAAGUUGAAUUAUUGCAGUCAUUUUAUGAUGAAAUUUUUAAACUUACUGUAAGAGAGGGGUACCUAGACCCCAAAAUUGUGAGACCUGAAGAGGAUCGACUGGAGUCAGGAUGUCCUUACCACAG